rnacentral:rRNA from 1 species
GAUGAACGCUGGCGGCAGGCCUAACACAUGCAAGUCGAGCGAGGUUUUCGGACCUAGCGGCGGACGGGUGAGUAACGCGUGGGAACGUGCCCUUUGCUACGGAAUAGCCCCGGGAAACUGGGAGUAAUACCGUAUGUGCCCUUCGGGGGAAAGAUUUAUCGGCAAAGGAUCGGCCCGCGUUGGAUUAGGUAGUUGGUGGGGUAAUGGCCUACCAAGCCGACGAUCCAUAGCUGGUUUGAGAGGAUGAUCAGCCACACUGGGACUGAGACACGGCCCAGACUCCUACGGGAGGCAGCAGUGGGGAAUCUUAGACAAUGGGGGAAACCCUGAUCUAGCCAUGCCGCGUGAGCGAUGAAGGCCUUAGGGUUGUAAAGCUCUUUCAGGUGGGAAGAUAAUGACGGUACCACCAGAAGAAGCCCCGGCUAACUCCGUGCCAGCCGCCGCGGUAA